AUUGAACGCUGGCGGAAUGCUUUACACAUGCAAGUCGAACGGCAGCACGGGGCAACCUGGUGGCGAGUGGCGAACGGGUGAGUAAUAUAUCGGAACGUGCCCAAUCGUGGGGGAUAACGUAGCGAAAGUUACGCUAAUACCGCAUACGAUCUACGGAUGAAAGCGGGGGAUCGCAAGACCUCGCGCGAAUGGAGCGGCCGAUAUCAGAUUAGGUAGUUGGUGGGGUAAAGGCUCACCAAGCCAACGAUCUGUAGCUGGUCUGAGAGGACGACCAGCCACACUGGAACUGAGACACGGUCCAGACUCCUACGGGAGGCAGCAGUGGGAAUUUUGGACAAUGGGCGCAAGCCUGAUCCAGCCAUUCG
rnacentral:rRNA from 1 species